rnacentral:rRNA from 1 species
GUGGGGAAUAUUGGGCAAUGGGCGAAAGCCUGACCCAGCAACGCCGCGUGAAGGAAGAAGGUUUUCGGAUCGUAAACUUCUAUCCUUGGUGAAGAUAAUGACGGUAGCCAAGAAGGAAGCCCCGGCUAACUACGUGCCAGCAGCCGCGGUAAUACGUAGGGGGCAAGCGUUGUCCGGAAUGAUUGGGCGUAAAGGGCGCGUAGGCGGCCCGGUAAGUCUGAAGUGAAAGUCCUGCUUUUAAGGUGGGAAUUGCUUUGGAUACUGUCGGGCUUGAGUGCAGGAGAGGUAAGCGGAAUUCCCGGUGUAGCGGUGAAAUGCGUAGAGAUCGGGAGGAACACCAGUGGCGAAGGCGGCUUACUGGACUGUAACUGACGCUGAGGCGCGAAAGUGUGGGGAGCAAACAGGAUUAGAUACCCCUGUAUUCC